rnacentral:rRNA from 1 species
UACGGAGGGAGCUAGCGUUGUUCGGAAUUACUGGGCGUAAAGCGCACGUAGGCGGCUUUGUAAGUUAGAGGUGAAAGCCCGGAGCUCAACUCCGGAACUGCCUUUAAGACUGCAUCGCUUGAAUCCAGGAGAGGUGAGUGGAAUUCCGAGUGUAGAGGUGAAAUUCGUAGAUAUUCGCAAGAACACCAGUGGCGAAGGCGGCUGACUGGUCCGGUUCUGACGCUGAGGCGCGAAA